rnacentral:rRNA from 1 species
GUCUACGGCCAUACCAACCUGAACGCGCCAGAUCUCGUCUGAUCUCGGAAGCUAAGCAGGGUCGGGCCUGGUUAGUACUUGGAUGGGAGAUUUAAAAACACAUAAUUUUAAUUCAAAGACACUGUGAUG